GGGGCGGUGAGGGGAGCAGAGGACAGCGGCUGACCCAGGGUGGGGACAGCACAGCCCGGGGGGGCCUGGCAGCCACCUGCCUGCCGUGGUGCCCCCGGCUGGAGCAGCAUCCCCACGGGACGCUGAUGAACGGAGCUCCGGGCUCCGUUAUCCCUCGGUGGGACGGCCCGGGGGGCGGCGCAGGAAAGGAGGCCCCUGGGGAAGCAGCUUUGUUGCUUCCUCACGCUGGGUUGUGAUCCAGGCCAGCGUUCCCAGCUCCCGGCGUCACACCCUCUCCCAGCUGUUGCCUCGCCGAGCAUCGCGGGCGCUGCCAAGAAAACCUUUGGUGAUGGAUGCAGCUCCCGCCCCGCUGCCUUAAAAGCGGCGGGGAGCGGCACCGGGCCUGUGUCUGUCCCGGCACGCCGGGAUCCGCCUGGGAAUGGGAUCCGCUGGCACCCAGGGCACCCCCAGCUCGUCCUGCCCAGCCUGGAGCAGUGGGACAGCGUUGGCACCGCACGAGCUCAUGCCCUAGGCCGGUGUGGAGGGAGCUGCCGCUGUGCCCUGGGGCGCUGAAUUGUCACCUGUCCCCAUCCCGACAGAGAGGAGAGAGGUGAGAGUGUGCCUGGUGUCACUGGGGUGUGUGGGGAGCCUCCCUUCGGGUUUUCAGUCCAUAAAAAAAAAAUAGAGGAGCCAUAAUAUGUUGCAGAUUGGAAAGUCAGAGCUGUUGAUGAGCUGUUAAUGAGCAUUAUCCCGGUUUUCCCUCUGGAAGUAGGCGGGCAAUCAACGUUUUCUGCAGGAUGAGGCUGCAGCCACAUCCUGGUGGAGCUGAGGGGCUGAAUCACGUCCUGAUGUCUCACGGAUGGGGGUGGGAAUCAGGGAGGAGCUGCGGGAGCAUCUUGUUCGGGACCAGUGGGGUUCCAUGGGAUCUCCCAUUGCUGCGUUUGUCCCUUCUCUCCCUGUCCCCAAUUCCCACACGUGUUGGGGACCAUUGUCCCUCCUGCUCCCCUCACUGUGAUUAACACCGAGUGUUUGCCCAGCAGGGGCAGAUCCCUGGCUGCAGAUCCCAGCUCCCCAGGAUCACACGGAUC
rnacentral:lncRNA from 1 species